rnacentral:rRNA from 1 species
UACGUAGGGGGCAAGCGUUGUUCGGAAUCAUUGGGCGUAAAGGGCGCGUAGGCGGUUUUGUAAGUCGGAUGUGAAAGCCCAGGGCUCAACCUUGGAAGUGCAUCCGAAACUGCGAAACUUGAAUCCUGGAGAGGGUGGUGGAAUUCCCAGUGUAGAGGUGAAAUUCGUAGAUAUUGGGAGGAACACCGGUGGCGAAGGCGACCACCUGGACAGAGAUUGACGCUGAGGCGCGAGAGCGUGGGGAGCAAACAGG